GGAGAAUCAUAAAACUUUAUAUAGAAUCUGUCGCUGUCUAUCGACAGCUUUGUCUGAAGAAUCUCUGCAAUGGUUGAACUGAGUUUGCCAUUCACACUAGGUCCAAGACCUCCAAUGGAGAUUAAUUCUCCAUAUGCAGCAGGAGCUUCAGUACCAGCAAACGCAAUAGGAACUCCUCCAUUCAACAAGAUCAUCACAUACUAGGGAAAAAACAAGUAGAGUUACGUCAACAUACUUGAUAUUUCCAAAGCAGUAAACUCAUUCUACCAUAGAGUUAAACUAAGAGAUAAUCAGAUUAUUUCUAGUUGUGCUUGUAAUUAAAAAUCCACGGUAGAAUUUUAUAUCAAGAACUCUUUGAUACGGAGAAGCUUACUACACCAUUUCAUUCUAAAGAAACUAAACUACGCACAAUAUAACCUCUCCUUAAACCAACUCUAUGUUCAUAUAUUGAAAAUCUGAUCCUUAUAAUCAGCAAUAUGAAAAAACAACCCGUCUUUUUAGUCAUCCCGCAAUUGCUGGAAGCUAGUUUUCUACUUACAGGAAAAAAGGGUAAUAAAUUUACUCUUCUUCUGCUUUGGAAUAAAGAAAUGCUAAGAGAACACUUGAAUAUCCGCUAUACUAGCACAAAAAGAAAUAGAGUAGAAGAGCAAGCUCUAAAUGAAACAACCCGACUGCCAAAGUUUCCAUGCAACUAGAAUUGGCAUCAAAAUAGUUAUUGGAUUCUGCAUUUCUAAUCUACCAACAUAAAUGUAAUAGAAACCAAAGAACAAUUCCUCUCAGUUGUGACCCCAAACUAACAAAUAACUAUUUACAAAUUAUAUGCAUUUAAGACUAAUCUUAAUGGUUAAGGUGGAAGUGCUGAGUCUCAAGUUUAAAACCCAUCAAAAGCAUGAAUUUACAUCCAAGCAUUUUUUUAGAUGAUUGUGGUGUUUGGCCCGCGUUCUCGCACCUUGACUAAUUUCACGGAAUAACUACCACCUCUCACCAACAACAAGUACUAGGUAACUCUAUCGAUCAAGGCUAGGACAGACGGAAAGAAAAAUUUAAACUUGAGAUCUCACUGCUCUCAACCACUUCAUUGACCACUAGGCCACACCCUUAGGUGCGAAUUUAAGAGUCAAUAUUCUCCCUACUACCAUGUGCUUUAGGAUACUGAUUUCCUCCUGUUGUUGGUGUAAAUAUUUAUAGUGCUAACAUGCUCUUCAUUAACAACUACCUUGGUCUCUCAUAGCUAACCCAAUCAUUCAUGAUUUUGAGCAACAAAGGGCUAAAUCUGUCUUUCUACUCAUCUCACUUCCCUAACUUUUUCAAGGUAAAAGAUAAAUAUGCCUCUCAACUUUGCGAUUCAAAGUAGAUAUCACUCGUUAAAAGAAUGGUCCAUAUAUACUCAUAUCGUCCUAGUUUAUUCUGCUUAUAGGUUUUUGAGACGAGGAUUUCCAGGAAACAGCCUCUUUACCUCCGUUGAGGUAGUGGUAAGGCUUGCGUACACUCUACCCUUUCCAAACCCCACUUAUGGGAUUCCACUGGUAUGUUGUUGUGGUAUAUACUCCUAUCGUCUACCCUUUUAAUUAAUAGACCGAAUUAAAAAAAUCCCAAAACUAAUUUUUUAAUUCCAAAAAUGCACACACCUUUAACAGUUUACCUCACCCAUUUUUUUCCUCCACCGUGUAAGGAAAAUUCUAAUAGCUUAGUUGGUUGGCUACACGAACUUUCAGUAUUUCUCCGCAUGAGUGGAAUUAUGGAGCUAUUACCAAACCAAUUUUAUUUCCAACCUAAAAAAAUUAGAAGUGAAGAAUGAUUUAUAAUUAACACUAAAUAAUUUGAAUAAAGUUUUGUGAGGGGAAUAUUAUCAAGCAGGUAGUAGUCAAUAUAAAUGUUUGGGGAGAAAAUGACUUAACUGACUCAGGUUUGCCUAUGAUUUUAGCAACAGCUUUAGUAGCAUCUUUGAGAAUAUCAGAAGCAACUACUGCAUCUACAGGUAAAUUUGUGAACAGAUUCAGAGUUGGCAUUCUUCUAUUCUGUUCCUCAAAUAACGAAAUAGUUGGGGAAGGAAAUGGGUGGUUUACAGUUAAACAAUAAUCACUUCAUAGAUAUUGUUUGAAGGAGGAAAAGGAGCUUCUCUCUUUGUUUUUUUAUAUUUAAGAUUAACUUGAUUAAACUUCGUAGUUAUUCCCUCGUUCAAUUUUACUUGGCACAGUGAUUAAGAAGUAAUAAAUGAUGAGAAAAUUUUUAUUAAAUUACCCUUUGAAUAUAUAUGAUGCUUGAAAAAUGUAAUAGGAAAAUCACUAUAAUUAAUGAUAAGGAUAAAUUAGGAAUUAAAUUUAAUAAAGUGGACAAGUAUUGUUGGACAUCUCAAAAUAAUAUAGGGAUCAAGUAAAGUUGAACGAAGGGAAUAAAUUAAAGUAGCUAAAUUUAAAAUUUUGAUAAUUAAAAAUUAUAUAAAAAAAUAUUAUAAAUAGCAAUCUUUUCCAUAUUACUAUAAUAAAAUAAUAUAUUUUAAAAUGUUGAUUAAAGUUCAUAUAAUUUGCCCUUAGUAAAUGAAAUAGUAAUAACUAAAAGUGAACGGAGUAACUACUGAAUAUUCGACCUUCCUCCAAAGUCCAAUAUAUAUCUCAUUUUCUUUGUCUCAAAUCUCAAUGGAAAUUGGAAAAGUCAAUCAUUUUUUUAAUUACUCAAGAAUCAAUGAAAAAUUUUAAAAUAUAUUUUAAUUUAUUAAUAAUAUAUUUUAAAAUUCAUGAAAUAUUUUGAUUGAACCGCAUGUAAUAAGAAGGGAAUGAAGCAAGCAGCUUAAGAGGGUCAAAUUAUUAAUUGUGGUUAGUGGGACCAAUUCUAUUGGUAUGCAAAAAUUAAAAGUUGUAGAUGGGGUUUGAACCCCAGACGUCUAGGGGUGUUGAUGGACGGGGUUGGUUCAGAUUUUUUAAAUAUCAAACCAAACCAUUUAUAUUGGGUUUUUAAAUAUAAAAAUCAAACCAAACCAAUAACAUUCGGGUUUUUCAACCUCGGAUUUUCUCAAUUUUUUUCGGGUUUUCGGGUUUUUCGGAUUUUUUGGGUUUUUUCAAGUUUUCAAAUUUUGACUUUUUCAUUUUGAAAUUCUCGUGUUUUUGAGUUUUUUUCCUAAUUUUUUGAUAAAGUAUUUAUAAAAACAUAUAAUUAACUUAUGAUUCAAAUAUUUCUUUAGUCCUACUAAAAUACAAAUAUCUAAAAUUCUUUUAAAGAAAAAUACAAAAUAUGAUAUUAGUAUAACAACAACAACAACAACAACAUACCCAGUGAAAUCCCACAAGUGGGGUCUUGGGAGGGUAGAAUGUACGCAGACCUUACCACUACCGAAGUAGAGAGCCUGUUUCCUGGGAACCCUCAUCUCAAAAUCCAACAAAAUAGGAUAUUAGUGAAGACACAAAAAUAUUCAAUAAAAAAUAAUAAUAAGAUCACAUAAAUAAAUAUUGCAAAUAAAUAAGUCAUAAUUGUUAUGAAAUAAAUCUAAAAUUGACUAGACCAAAUUUAUAGCAGAAUGAAAUAAGAAGACUAAAACUUAGGGAGAGAAAGAUUAUAUUAUUUGCUUUAUGCUGUAUAUUUCCGUGUGUUCUUUUGCCUCAAAGAGACAUGUAUUUAUAGUACUAAGUGGCCAUCAUUUUGGCCAAAAUAUAUCAUACUAUAUUCCAUCCACUUGGGGACAAAGCCAAGUGGAUGUGUGUACAAUUUCCACUCAACACUCCCCCUAAAUUGUACAUGUAAAAGAAACAAAAAUGUUCAUUUAUUAGAGAAUAUGCCUCGUUAAAACCUUACUAGGAAAAACCCUGUGGGAUAAAAACCUAGUGAAGGAAAAAGAGUACAUAUAACCUNAUUUCAGUUUAAGGUAGAAGACAAGAGAAACACUAAAUUUGAAAAAGUAGCCCUAUGCUGGACAUCUGAAAUAUGCAUCACAAUUUAUAUCCCUUGGCACCACGAAACCAACAAUCGAGUUGUACAGACCUUGUACAAAAGUAUCACCAUUGAACAUGUCAAAAGGGUUUACUUCUUCGUUCAGACGAAGUCUUAAGGUGCUGCUCUACCAACAAGUUCCUUCAACAGACUCCAGGAGCAGUUAUUUUUAAGCAGGUCCAUCAAAAAGUUGAGCCAUUGAACCCAAAAAAUGGGCGCUGCAUGCAAAGAAAAGGAUUUUCGGUUAAGCAUUGACAAAACCUUUACAUUGAUGUAAGAUUAAAGCACAAGAACCAAGCUAAAUGCAGCAACAACUCAAGUUUGUGCUGGUGCCUGGUUGAGCAUAGAGAAUUGCAACUAAAAAGUAGGUUAUAAUAACAUGUCUACUUAUUAUGUAUGGAUUCAGAUUCUAGUGACUUGAUUGGGAUUGAGACAUAGUUGUUGUCAUUGCUAGCGUUUGUUCUUGUUGAUCAGGUUAUAUUUCAAAAUAGAGCCAAUUCCAAUAGGAUUUUAGGAUAUCCACUGAUGCAUCCCAAUAUGGGUAGUUCAACUCUAACAAAUCGGCAAUCAGUUAUGAAUAGGAUUCCAUACACCAACUGAAAGAAUAUACUGAGGAAAUAGCAAUGCAGUUAGGGAGUUCGUUGAGGUAUGUGCAAGAUGACACACCACAGUUAUUCUAGAAAAAAAAGGUCAACGAAAGGACAUCAAUUCAACCUCAGCUUAAAUUAACAUGUAAGUUGUUUUCAAUAUGGUUACAGUAGUUCUUCUUCACAAAUUUAAGAACAAAUAUCACAGCUAAUUUGAUAAAUAUUCAAAUUUCAUCUAUUAUUCCCCUCAUUGUAGAGUGAUCCUUACUAAUAAACAAGUUGCAAUAUACUCGAUAUAUCACGCCAGCUUUUAAAAACACAAACAAGGUCUAAACUUCGCUAGGGUUGAUUGAACUAGUUCUGUUUGAUCCAGGUGUCUAAAAGGAAAGCAGUGGAUCAUUUCUUUAGUUGUUCAAGACAAAGGGAAGCGCAUUGCACAUAAUUGCAGUGGACGAAGGAGGGGGAUGGAGGUAGGAGAAAAUGCUGAACAUCAUUUCCUCUUUGUUCUCGUAAAGCCUUACCGGAGAAUCAUAAAACUUUAUAUAGAAUCUGUCGCUGUCUAUCGACAGCUUUGUCUGAAGAAUCUCUGCAAUGGUUGAACUGAGUUUGCCAUUCACACUAGGUCCAAGACCUCCAAUGGAGAUUAAUUCUCCAUAUGCAGCAGGAGCUUCAGUACCAGCAAACGCAAUAGGAACUCCUCCAUUCAACAAGAUCAUCACAUA
rnacentral:lncRNA from 1 species